rnacentral:lncRNA from 1 species
AUUUUGUAUAGCUCUUCUAUCUUUUCCUCAUAGGUCUUUAUGGUGCUUUCCUUGGAAGUGCCUUUCAACUUGUUCCAUUCAUCCCACAUGGCUUUGAGGUCCAACAGCCCUGACCAACCUGUAUUUACAUCGUCCACAGCAGCUGUUUGAAGGGACUAUAGUUGACUUGAGUCUUGAGGUGCUUCACCUCCUCAGCAGCUUUGUCAAAUUCAGCCUGGGACAUGCUGGAACACCUGGGCUGCACACACAGAGGUGACCUGCUAAAUGCUUUAUUUAACAGUUGCAGAUCAUUCCGUGGGCUAAGUAAUGGAUAUCCAGACCCCCACCAGCUGCAAGAUUAACGCAACCUUCGAGCUUCUCUUUCUGACUCCAAUAGGGUGAGCAUGUCACCCUCUCGAACGGGGCCUUUGACAUUUCGGAUGAUAGAGCGGCUGGUGUCAUCCAUGAAUUCCACUCGCACCUGCGUGCACUGUCCCUGCGAACCGGUCCUGCCCAGCACUUUGGUUACCCUAGCCAGCUUGAUGGGCUGCACGCGACUCGUGUCCAUGAUGGCUGCGAUCUGGCGGAGAGCAAGAUUUAUUUACUUAGCAUUUUAUGUGCAUGUGUUGAUGGGGACUAUGUGUGUGCAGUGCACAUCUGAGGCCAGAAGUGGGCAUGGGAUCCUCUGGAGCUGGAGCUGCAGGUGGUCGUGAGCUGCCAUGCAGGUGAUGGGAACCGAACC